CACAAGCAGUUCGGUUUUACAACGUGCGCUUUAUGGGUUGUGAGAGUAUUAAAAGUUGAACGCCGUCUGUAAUAUUCAAGACGAGCGAUUUAACUAAAAGAGAAGAGGAACGGAUACGAGUAGACACACAGAUAAAUACUCAAAAGGAAAAUCAAUAGUUUAAUUUCACCGACUCUGCAGUGAAUGAUGCGGAUUCUGCGAGCUGCCUCAGUUAAAACCCCGCCACCACCGGGUGUCGGUUAGGGUAGGGUUAGGGUUAGCAAGCUGAUCAUCAACCAGAGGUUUCCCCUCCGCAUUCAACGCAAAGCAAGUCAGUUUAAAGCAAAACCUGUGUUUUGAUGCAACUAAAGGUUUGCUUACCGAUCUAUUUAAUAAAAA